rnacentral:lncRNA from 1 species
ACACUCGCUCACAAGGCGAGCCGUUUUACUUACGAAUCAACGACAUCGAACUAUAUCUCCGAGUCUUACGACGAAUUCGGGAAUAUCGUGCUGCAAACAAUCUCCCUCCUAUCGAAAUUCCUGAUCUCAAAAAUCUUCUUCCUUCACCGAUACCCGAGAUGGCAGAACCAGCUCGUGCUCUUCGAGAUUACGCCGCUCCAUCGCAAGAUGAGCCACAUUCGAGUAUUGCUCCACCCGCAAUCGAAG